rnacentral:miRNA from 1 species
UACAGCAUCCAGUUGUGCGAAU